GAUGAAGAACGCAGCGAAAUGCGAUACGUAAUGUGAAUUGCAGAAUUCAGUGAAUCAUCGAAUCUUUGAACGCACAUUGCGCCCGCCAGCAUUCUGGCGGGCAUGCCUGUUCGAGCGUCAUUUCAACCCUCGACCUCCCUUUGGGGAAGUCGGCGUUGGGGACCGGCAGCACACCGCCGGCCCUGAAAUGGAGUGGCGGCCCGUCCGCGGCGACCUCUGCGUAGUAAUCCAACUCGCACCGGAACCCCGACGCGGCCACGCCGUAAAACACCCAACUUCUGAACGUUGACCUCGAAUCAGGUAGGACUACCCGCUGAACUUAAGCAUAUCAAUAAGCGGAGGA
rnacentral:misc_RNA from 1 species